UACGGAGGGUGCAAGCGUUAUCCGGAUUCACUGGGUUUAAAGGGUGCGUAGGAGGGCAGGUAAGUCAGUGGUGAAAUCCUGGGGCUUAACCCCAGAACUGCCGUUGAUACUAUCUGUCUUGAAUACCGUGGAGGUGAGCGGAAUAUGUCAUGUAGCGGUGAAAUGCUUAGAUAUGACAUAGAACACCAAUUGCGAAGGCAGCUCGCUACACGAAUAUUGACUCUGAGGCACGAAAGCGUGGGGAUCAAACAGGAUUAGAUACCCUGGUAGUCCACGCCCUAAACGAUGGAUACUCGACAUACGCGAUACACUGUGUGUGUCUGAGCGAAAGCAUUAAGUAUCCCACCUGGGAAGUACGACCGCAAGGUUGAA
rnacentral:rRNA from 1 species